AGAGUUUGAUCAUGGCUCAGAUUGAACGCUGGCGGCAGGCCUAACACAUGCAAGUCGAGCGGUAGCACAGAGAGCUUGCUCUCGGGUGACAAGCGGCGGACGGGUGAGUAAUGUCUGGGAAACUGCCUGAUGGAGGGGGAUAACUACUGGAAACGGUAGCUAAUACCGCAUAACGUCGCAAGACCAAAGUGGGGGACCUUCGGGCCUCAUGCCAUCAGAUGUGCCCAGAUGGGAUUAGCUAGUAGGUGGGGUAACGGCUCACCUAGGCGACGAUCCCUAGCUGGUCUGAGAGGAUGACCAGCCACACUGGAACUGAGACACGGUCCAGACUCCUACGGGAGGCAGCAGUGGGGAAUAUUGCACAAUGGGCGCAAGCCUGAUGCAGCCAUGCCGCGUGUGUGAAGAAGGCCUUCGGGUUGUAAAGCACUUUCAGCGGGGAGGAAGGCGNGCGAUUGACGUUACCCGCAGAAGAAGCACCGGCUAACUCCGUGCCAGCAGCCGCGGUAAUACGGAGGGUGCAAGCGUUAAUCGGAAUUACUGGGCGUAAAGCGCACGCAGGCGGUCUGUCAAGUCGGAUGUGAAAUCCCCGGGCUCAACCUGGGAACUGCAUUCGAAACUGGCAGGCUAGAGUCUUGUAGAGGGGGGUAGAAUUCCAGGUGUAGCGGUGAAAUGCGUAGAGAUCUGGAGGAAUACCGGUGGCGAAGGCGGCCCCCUGGACAAAGACUGACGCUCAGGUGCGAAAGCGUGGGGAGCAAACAGGAUUAGAUACCCUGGUAGUCCACGCCGUAAACGAUGUCGAUUUGGAGGUUGUGCCCUUGAGGCGUGGCUUCCGGAGCUAACGCGUUAAAUCGACCGCCUGGGGAGUACGGCCGCAAGGUUAAAACUCAAAUGAAUUGACGGGGGCCCGCACAAGCGGUGGAGCAUGUGGUUUAAUUCGAUGCAACGCGAAGAACCUUACCUGGUCUUGACAUCCACAGAACUUNUUGGUGCCUUCGGGAACUGUGAGACAGGUGCUGCAUGGCUGUCGUCAGCUCGUGUUGUGAAAUGUUGGGUUAAGUCCCGCAACGAGCGCAACCCUUAUCCUUUGUUGCCAGCGGUUAGGCCGGGAACUCAAAGGAGACUGCCAGUGAUAAACUGGAGGAAGGUGGGGAUGACGUCAAGUCAUCAUGGCCCUUACGACCAGGGCUACACACGUGCUACAAUGGCAUAUACAAAGAGAAGCGACCUCGCGAGAGCAAGCGGACCUCAUAAAGUAUGUCGUAGUCCGGAUUGGAGUCUGCAACUCGACUCCAUGAAGUCGGAAUCGCUAGUAAUCGUAGAUCAGAAUGCUACGGUGAAUACGUUCCCGGGCCUUGUACACACCGCCCGUCACACCAUGGGAGUGGGUUGCAAAAGAAGUAGGUAGCUUAACCUUCGGGAGGGCGCUUACCACUUUGUGAUUCAUGACUGGGGUGAAGUCGUAACAAGGUAACCGUAGGGGAACCUGCGGUUGGAUCACCU
rnacentral:rRNA from 1 species